rnacentral:pre_miRNA from 1 species
UCGACCACAUCUCCUUAUCACUUUUCCAGCCCAGCUAUCCAUUCUGUAUUCGUUGGACGGAGAACUGAUAAGGGCAUGUGUCUGA